UGUGCUUACAAAUUCAGUCCAUUCAUAUAUCAAGCCACAAUUAAACCAUCAAUUGAACUAAAAAUCUUAUGAGCCUAGCAUCACAAUGCAAAAACCUGUUCAUACGCCAAAAAUAAAAGCAAGAAGCUACAAGAAGUUUUAGACGGAGGUAGAAGUGGGAGACCAGAAAAUUUCUUCACUACUUCAUUCCCCUCUCCAGUUCCAUGUAUUUUGAGCAAAGGAAUUAUAAUCAGUAAAUACAAGGCUCAUGGAUAACGUUAAAGGAUCCAUAGCGAACCAACAGUCUACCAAAUUACAAUGUUCAUAUCAGAUACAACUUUAAAAGAUAAGGUGAGAAAUCAUCCACAUAAAAACACCUCCAAUCAAAAUUACCAUUCAUCUUNNNN
rnacentral:lncRNA from 1 species